GACGAACGCUGGCGGCGUGCCUAACACAUGCAAGUCGAACGAGGUCCAUGGGUGCUUGCACCCGGAAGACCUAGUGGCGAACGGGUGAGUAACACGUGAGAAACCUGCCCCAGACUCUGGGAUAACCCAAGGAAACUUGAGCUAAUACCGGAUAUUCUCCUUUGGUCGCAUGGCCAGUUGAGGAAAGUUUUUCGGUCUGGGAGGGUCUCGCGUCCUAUCAGCUUGUUGGUGAGGUAACGGCUCACCAAGGCGACGACGGGUAGCUGGUUUGAGAGAACGAUCAGCCACACUGGAACUGAGACACGGUCCAGACUCCUGCGGGAGGCAACAGUGGGGAAUCUUGCGCAAUGGGCGAAAGCCUGACGCAGCAACGCCGCGUGCGGGAUGAAGGCCUUCGGGUUGUAAACCGCUUUCAGCAGGGACGAAAAUGACGGUACCUGCGGAAGAAGCUCCGGCUAACUACGUGCCAGCCGCCGCGGUAA
rnacentral:rRNA from 1 species